rnacentral:rRNA from 1 species
GACGAACGCUGGCGGCGUGCUUAACACAUGCAAGUCGAACGGAAAGGCCCUGCUUUUGUGGGUUGCUCGAUUGGCGAACGGGUGAGUAACACGUGAGUAACCUGCCCUUGACUUUGGGAUAACUUCAGGAAACUGGGGCUAAUACCGGAUAGGAUCUCCUGCUGCAUGUUGGGGGUUGGAAAGUUUCGGCGGUUGGGGAUGGACUCGCGGCUUAUCAGCUUGUUGGUGGGGUAGUGGCUUACCAAGGCUUUGACGGGUAGCCGGCCUGAGAGGGUGACCGGCCACAUUGGGACUGAGAUACGGCCCAGACGCCUACGGGAGGCAGAAGGGGGGAAUAUUGCACAAUGGGCGGAAGCCUGAUGCAGAAACGCCGCGUGCGGGAUGACGGCCUUCGGGUUGUAAACAGCUUUCGCCUGUGACGAAGAGUGAGUGACGGUAAUGGGUAAAGAAGCAACGGCUAACUACGUG